UCUUCACACCACCUACUUCCGUGUACCCAUCAUGCCGUUUCAGAAACAUGGCGGCUGAAUUUUCAUAACAUCGAUGCCUUUGCGGUCAGUCGUUCGCCCAUUGCACCAAAUAAACAAGACAAGAGUUGUGUUGCAGUGGAUUUCACACGAUGCCGAAGUAUUACGAAGAUAAAGAGACGGAUGACAGAGCCUGUGCUGGAGUCAGAGAAGACUUUAGAGAAUGUCUCCUUCGACACGACUGCGUUGUAAAGGAGGGGAAACUGCCCAGCGAGUGUCUGAAGGAAGGCCACUGCAAAGCCCUGCAGACUUCAUUCUUUGAGUGCAAGAGGUCGAUGCUGGACACGAGGUCACGAUUCAGAGGAAGGAAAGGAUAUUGAAGCACCAAUGAAAGGCUGAUGUCGCUGUGUCGUUGAGGUUCCUGGUUGAGCAGCUGUAAAUACUUCUCUUGUUCACGGAGCCCUCGCAGUUUACUGGGUAGAGACGGAUCCAACUUCACAGCCAGAGCCAGAUCCAGACCGGGGGGGUUGGGGUCAGGUGCGUCUCCGAGCCCGUCCUGUCCAUGGAAGUGUCCCGCAUCAAUGGUGUUCCCCAGAAUCGGCUUAGCAGCACCUUUAAACACUGGAAUCUGGCUCACAGGAGAAAAGUCAAUUAAUGCUUUACUGCUGCUCUUAGUUUUCGUAACAAAGUAUUAGAAUUUGGGAAAUAUGUAUAUAUAUAUACAGUCAAUUCCAUGAGAUGAUAUAAAU